rnacentral:tRNA from 1 species
AGCCCCGUAGUUCAGCGGAAUGAACGCCGCGCUACGAACGCGGAGCACGCAGGUUCGAAUCCUGCCGGGGCUGC